rnacentral:rRNA from 1 species
GACGAACGCUGGCGGCGUGCUUAACACAUGCAAGUCGAACGGUGACCCUCGGAGCUUGCUUCGGGGUGAACAGUGGCGAACGGGUGAGUAACACGUGAGUAACCCGCCCCUGACGCUGGAAUAAGCGCUGGAAACGGCGUCUAAUACCGGUUACUACACGCCUCCGCAUGGGGAGCGUGUGGAAAGUUUUUCGGUCUGGGAUGGACUCGCGGCCUAUCAGCUUGUUGGUGAGGUAAUGGGUCACCAAGGCGAUGACGGGUAGCCGGCCUGAGAGGGCGACCGGCCACACUGGGACUGAGACACGGCCCAGACUCCUACGGGAGGCAGCAGUGGGGAAUAUUGCACAAUGGGCGAAAGCCUGAUGCAGCGACGCCGCGUGAGGGAUGACGGCCUUCGGGUUGUAAACCUCUUUCAGCAGGGAAGAGGUGAAAGUGACGGUACCUGCAGAAGAAGCACCGGCUAACUACGUGCCAGCCGCCGCGGUAACAC